rfam:Felis catus isolate Cinnamon breed Abyssinian chromosome A1, whole genome shotgun sequence.
GCCUGGGUGGCUCAGUCGGUUGAGCGUCUGACUUCGGCUCAGGUCAUGAUCUCACAGCUCGUGAGUUCGAGCCCCAUGUCGGGCU